UACGGAGGGUGCAAGCGUUAUCCGGAUUCACUGGGUUUAAAGGGUGCGGUAGGUGGGCAGUUAAGUCAGUGGUGAAAUCUCCGGGCUCAACCCGGGAAACUGCCAUUGAUACUAUCUGUCUUGAAUAUCGUGGAGGUAAGCGGAAUAUGUCAUGUAGCGGUGAAAUGCUUAGAUAUGACAUAGAACACCAAUUGCGAAGGCAGCUUACUACCCGAAUAUUGACACUGAGGCACGAAAGCGUGGGGAUCAAACAGG
rnacentral:rRNA from 1 species